AGCCAUAUUACAUACAUCAUUUAAUUAGUUAAGGCUUAUUAAUACUACAUAGUAGCUUAAUUUUGUAAUUAUUAAAAAAAUUGUCAUUAUUUCCUUAUAGCAACGUAUAUAAGUGAAAUUUUGACAUAGUAGCUGAUUAAUUCGUGUGGGAUCUAACUACAUGCUUUUAGAUUAUAACAACAAUUACAAUUAAAUUUAUUCUAGAUACCUA
rnacentral:lncRNA from 1 species